AUUGAACGCUGGCGGCAUGCCUAACACAUGCAAGUCGAACGAGUGGCGGACGGGUGAGUAAUGUCUGGGAAACUGCCUGAUGGAGGGGGAUAACUACUGGAAACGGUAGCUAAUACCGCAUACUAUCGGAUGUGCCCAGAUGUGAUUAGCUAGUAGGUGGGGUAAAGGCCCACCUAGGCGACGAUCCCUAGCGGGUCUGAGAGGAUGACCAGCCACACUGGAACUGGGACACGGCCCAGACUCCUACGGGAGGCAGCAGUGGGGAAUAUUGCACAAUGGGCGCAAGCCUGAUGCAGCCAUGCCGCGUGUAUGAAGAAGGCCUUCGGGUUGUAAAGGACUUUUGGUGGGGAAGCGUUACCCGCAGAAGAAGCACCGGCUAACUCCGUGCCAGCCGCCGCGGUAAUUC
rnacentral:rRNA from 1 species